GAUUCUCUUGCCUCAGCCUCUCAAGGAGCUGGGAUUAUAGGCACAUGCCACCAUGUCCAGCUCUAUCUGGAAGGAGUCUGGGAGCAGCAACACCCUAGUAGUAAUGAACAUCUCUAGUGCCCAGAUCUUGACUUCUCAAUAACAUUCUCCACUAAAAGGAACCAAGGAUCAUUGGAGAAAUGGCUCAUUCUAAGGCUAGUGCUGGGAAAAAUACAAGAUGAGCCUUGUGGUGGACAGACUCACAAACUCUAAAGCACCUCCUCCAUGUAUUUUUAGUAGAGACAGGGUUUCACCGUGUUAGCCAGGAUGGUCUCGAUCUCCUGACCUCGUGAUCUGCCUGCCUCAGCCUCCCGAAGUGCUGGGACUACAGGCAUGAGCCACCGCGCCUGACCUGGGUUUUACUUUUUAGUGGGAGGAAAUGAACACUAAAUAAAUCAUUAUACUGUACUGCAGGUAAGAAAAAAUAUUUUAAAAAUCAUUAUAUCAAGUCAGUUGGGAAUAAGUGCAAUGAUUAAGAAUAAACCAGAGGAAGUGCAUAAGAGAGUGACUCCAGGACCUAGCUAUGUGAUUGGUAGGUGUUCUAUUUCAAUUAGGCUUGUCAGCAAAGGUCUCUUUGAAAGGUAAUGUUUGAGUGGAGACCUAAAGGAUAAAGAUUCAGUUAUGCAAAGGUCUGGGGAAAGAGCACUCCAGGCAUAGGAACCAGCAAGUUCAAAGGACCUGAGGUGGGAGUGAGCUUGGCAUUUUUAGGAGUCCCCCCUGGGAUUAUGAAGGUAGUUUAACAUUGACUCCAACAUUAAAAAAGACAAAACAAAACAAAACAAAACAGAAAAACAGGUGAGAAUUUAAAGCUAUAUAGUAUGAACAGCAGAACUCUGAAAUUUGACUUCUGGAUUCAAAUCCAGUUUCUGCUACCAGCUAUGUGACUCUGCGAUAAUGCCUUAACCUUUCUGUUCCUCACUUCCCUCAUUUGUAAAUGAGAAUUAAUAAUAGCUCCAACCUAAAUAGGUUACCUUGAGAAUUAAAUGGAUGAGUGCAUGUAAAAUGCUUAGCACAGUGUCCAGCGUGCUAACCCAAUAUAUAUUAGAAAUUAUCUUAACUGAUUUGGCCUGGACUUAUUAACUGCCUGGUUGGUGUGUGUGUGGCAGGAUCUCAGGAAACAUAGCUUAUCUGGUUGUAUGUUUCUGAGAGGGGACAGAGGAGCCGAGUCCUGAGAAAUAUGACGCUGCACAGUAAGGGAUGAGGGCUGCUUCCUGCUCAUUCCUACCCGCUACCAAAACCAGGUCCUGUGAAAGGGAUUCUAGCAGGUAUGACCCAUUGAAUAAAACAGGAAACCAUGAAUUCCCAUUUGCAUAAAUAAAGACACAGUCAAAAUCCCUUAUUGAAGCCUAAUUCUAAUUUUUUUAUACUUAACCUAGACCCAAAUUCAACUCAUGUUUGAACUCUUCUAAAUAAAAGCCAUUUCUAAUCUCUGUCCUGUA